AUGUGAAAUCCCCGAGCUUAACUUGGGAAUUGCAUUCGAUACUGGUUGGCUAGAGUAUGGGAGAGGAUGGUAGAAUUCCAGGUGUAGCGGUGAAAUGCGUAGAGAUCUGGAGGAAUACCGAUGGCGAAGGCAGCCAUCUGGCCUAAUACUGACGCUGAGGUACGAAAGCAUGGGGAGCAAACAGGAUUAGAUACCCUGGUAGUCCAUGCCGUAAACGAUGUCUACUAGCCGUUGGGGCCCUUGAGGCUUUAGUGGCGCAGCUAACGCGAUAAGUAGACCGCCUGGGGAGUACGGUCGCAAGACUAAAACUCAAAUGAAUUGACGGGGGCCCGCACAAGCGG
rnacentral:rRNA from 1 species